AUGGAUUUGAUUGAAUGAUUCUCCCAUUUCCACAUGGAGAGUGGAGCCCAGAGAAUUGUUUAAUCAUGUAUCCAU
ensembl:miRNA MIR3123 microRNA 3123